ACCUGACUGCUAUCGGAUUGAUACUAAGCCAUGCGAGUCAUUGUAGCAAUACAAGGCAUACGGCUCAGUAACGCGUAGUCAACCUAACCUAUGGACGGGAAUAACCUCGGGAAACUGAGAAUAAUGCCCGAUAGAACACUAUACCUGGAAUGGUUUGUGUUCCAAAUGAUUUAUCGCCAUAGGAUGGGACUGCGGCCUAUCAGUUUGUUGGUGAGGUAAUGGCCCACCAAGACUAUUACAGGUACGGGCUCUGAGAGGAGUAGCCCGGAGAUGGGUACUGAGACACGGACCCAGGCCCUAUGGGGCGCAGCAGGCGAGAAAACUUUGCAAUGUGCGAAAGCACGACAAGGUUAAUCCGAGUGAUUUGUGCUAAACGAAUCUUUUGUUAGUCCUAGAAACACUAACGAAUAAGGGGUGGGCAAGUUCUGGUGUCAGCCGCCGCGGUAAAACCAGCACCUCAAGUGGUCAGGAUGAUUAUUGGGCCUAAAGCAUCCGUAGCCGGCUCUGUAAGUUUUCGGUUAAAUCUGUACGCUUAACGUACAGGCUGCCGGGAAUACUGCAGAGCUAGGGAGUGGGAGAGGUAGACGGUACUCGGUAGGAAGUGGUAAAAUGCUUUGAUCUAUCGAUGACCACCGGUGGCGAAGGCGGUCUACCAGAACACGUCCGACGGUGAGGGAUGAAAGCUGGGGGAGCAAACCGGAUUAGAUACCCGGGUAGUCCCAGCUGUAAACUAUGCAAACUCAGUGAUGCAUUGGCUUGUGGCCAAUGCAGUGCUGCAGGGAAGCCGUUAAGUUUGCCGCCUGGGAAGUACGUACGCAAGUAUGAAACUUAAAGGAAUUGGCGGGGGAGCACCACAAGGGGUGAAGCCUGCGGUUC
rnacentral:rRNA from 1 species